GAUGAAGAACGCAGCGAAAUGCGAUACUUGGUGUGAAUUGCAGAAUCCCGUGAACCAUCGAGUCUUUGAACGCAAGUUGCGCCCGAAGCCAUCAGGUUGAGGGCACGUCUGCCUGGGCGUCACAUAUCGUUGGCCAAUGCCUAUUGCAGUGCAAUAGGAAUUUCUAGGGCGAAUGAUGGCUUCCCGUGAGCGUUGUUGCCUCGCGGUUGGUUGAAAAUCGAGUCCUUGGUAGGGUGUGCCAUGGUAGAUGGUGGUCGAGUUAGAACGAUAUCGAUCAUGUGCAUGCUCCCCAAAAUAUGGCCUCUAUGACCCACACGCGUCUUUUGACGCUCAUGACGAGACCUCAGGUCAGGCGGGGCUACCCGCUGAAUUUAAGCAUAUCAAUAAGCGGGGA
rnacentral:misc_RNA from 1 species